UCCUCAGAGCUGCUGUGCUGCGCAACCAGAUACACGUCAAGUCCCCUCCUAGAGAAGGCAACCAGGGGGAGCUAUCAACAGCCAACAGCCAAACAACCAGGAUGACCAGCACCAUGUGACGGGGACGUCCCUUUAUGACACCAUCGCUGGCACUCUGCUCCCUAUAUAGUGCACUACCCUAUGGGGCCCUGGUCAAAAGUAGGGCGCUAUGUAGGGAAUAGGGUGCCAUUUGGUACACAGACGAUGCCUGGUGCCUCUGAAUGAACAGAGGGAGUGUGGGGUGCCUCAGGUAGUGCCCUUCUUUUGGCCAAGUCAAAGCUACAACUGCUAAGCUGGAGUCUGGCCAACAGUGGGGAACAUGGUGUCAUUUGAGAAGCAGCCCAUGACAUGGCCCAAACGUUUGCAAAAAAAAAACCUGCGGCC